ACUGAGGGAUGAUGACAUAAAAGGCCGAAUUACAGAGCCUCUCCAAGCAGUUCUCUCUGUGGAAGAGGCUCGAUGACAAAACUCCUUGAAGCGAACUCAAAACUGACCUCAAC
rnacentral:snoRNA from 1 species